AUGUUGGCUGCUGCCGCCGGGCCGUCCGCAUCGUCAUCUGCUCAACCGCCCCCAGGCUGGCGCCCUACACUGAGUCCUGCACCACCCACCAGUACUCCAUCUGCGGUUGCAUGGCGGCCUCCUCAUGAUCCUUGGACGGGGCUCGUUCAGGCAUGGCCCAUGCCCUGGUCCGCUCCAUCCGCCCUCGGUGCUCCGCCGGCAUACUCAGGUGCCUGGCAACCCGGCCUUCGGCCGCUUACUGGUGCUCCCGGGGUUCUCAACCCCCGACAGCCGGCCAAUGCCUAUCACGCCGCCCUGACGUAUGCUCCUUAUGGUCAUUGCACCACCGACAGCGGCGCCUACUACACACCUCAGCCGGCCCUGCUCCCGACGCCACCCUCACCACAGCCGGCCAAUGCCUCUCACGCCGUCCCGACCAACACGACGGGCAAUGAGAGCCGCGACGCCGCCUUGAAGAAGGGAACGAGUUUCAUCGCCGUCAAUCCAUCCGAAGAUAGAUCAGGUUUUAACCCCGGCCAACACUCACCACCACCGGACGCCACACCCCGCGACCAUGCCGCCCACAUGACCAUGGCCACCGGGCAGCACCUAACCACGGGCUCUGCCCAUGAGCACCGUGAAACCACCAGCCUGUCAGCCCCGUCCGCCGGCGAGGAAAAGAGAGAAAGAGGAGAGAACAUACCAGGGCAGCAGCAACUAAGACUUCGCCAGGGCCAUGCUCUAGAGCGGCAUGGGUACUACUAUGAUGUUUACGUAAGGGCGGCUGGGCCACAUUGGAGGAAUGCCCCUAUCGGCCGGGUCGUGGCCAUUUUGGACGCUCUAUUUCUCCAAAGAAGAAUUUGUCCUCUCCACUCUGUUCGUUGCGUCCUGCUCCACGGCUCUGUUGGCUACGACUCCCCAUCGAACGAUUGCUUCCGUCGACUGCUGGCAGCAGGAGAAAAGUCUCUCUCUCUCUCACAUCCAGAACGACAUCCAGACCGUCCUAGAUAUCCCACCGCUCAUGGGAUUAGGCCCUGUGCCAACGCGGAAUAUUCUUCUAAAUUAGAUUCUGAAGCCAUCUCAUUGUCAUUGUCGCCUCCACUUCGGUUGCCUCUGUUGCUGCCUCCACUUCUGCUGCUUCUGGUACUGCUGUUGUCCUCGCCGUCGCUUGACAACAUAAUGACCUCCGCCCCCGCCCUCCACCCCCACCCCACGCAGCUAGAUGCUCGUACAGGCGGAGUUAUGCCUCCACUUGCUCUGGGUAGAGGCGACGGAGUUCUGCCAAUGUACACCUCCACUUGCUCUGGCCAGACGUGGCUGCGCCGGGUGCCGAUGAAUCCAUCCAAAAUGGAGCGGCACCGGCGGCCAGGAUGCGUCAAAUGCGACGCCGAUAGGGAGGGCAGUAGAUCUGCCGAUUUAGGCGCCGGCGCCGGCAAGAGAGCACCAAAUCCGGGUGGGGGAGUAGCACGGCGGGUCCUACUAGCGCUGGUGGUGGCCGGCGGAGGCUAG
rnacentral:rRNA from 1 species